AUGGAGCUGCUGUGCUGCGAGGUGGACCCGGUCCGCAGGGCAGUGCCGGACCGCAACCUGCUGGACCACCGCGUCCUGCAGAAUUUGCUGACCAUCGAAGAACACUACCUUCCUCACUGCUCCUACUUCAAGUGCGUGCAGGACAUCCAGCCUUACAGGCGCAGGAUGGUGGCCACCCGGAUGCUAGAGGUCUGUGAGGAUCAGAAGUGUGAAGAGGAGGUCUUGCCCUUGGCCAUGAAUUACCUGGAUCUUUUCUUGGCCCGGGUCCCCACCCCCAAGACCCACCUUCAGCUCCUGGGUGCAGUGUACAUAUUCCUGGCCUCCAAGCUCAAAGAGACCAUUCCGAUGACUGCGGAAAAACUGUAUUUACACGGACAACUCCAUCAAGCCCCAGGAGCUGCUGGAGUGGGAACUGGUGGUGCUGGGCAAGUUGAAGUGGAACCUGGCUGCUGUCACCCCUCACGACUUCAUUGAGCACAUCCUGCGCAGGCUGCCUCAGCAGAGGGAGAAGCUGCCUCUGAUCCGCAAGCAUGUGCAGACCUUCAUCGCUCUGUGUGGUACCGACUUCAAGUUCACCAUGUACCCACCAUCGAUGAUCGCAACUGGAAGUGUGGGUGCGGCCAUUUGUGGGCUCCAGCAGGACCAGAAAGUGAGCUCACUCACGUGCGAUGCCCUAACCGAGCUGCUGGCCAAGAUCACCAACACUGAUGUGGAUUGUCUCAAAGCCUGCCAGGAGCAGAUCGAGGCCAUGCUGCUCAACAGCCUGCAGCAGUUCCGCCAGGAGCAGCCAGGAGCUGCCGGAUGGAUCCAAGUCAGAGGAUGAACUGGACCAAGCCACCACCUCUACAGACCUGCGGGACAUCGACCUGUGA